CCUUCACUAUGGAAUAGCCUCGGGAAACUGAGAGUAAUACCAUAUACGCCCUUCGGGGGAAAGAUUUAUCGGUGAAGGAUUAGCCCGCGUAAGAUUAGAUAGUUGGUGGGGUAAUGGCCUACCAAGUCUACGAUCUUUAGCUGGUUUGAGAGGAUGAUCAGCAACACUGGGACUGAGACACGGCCCAGACUCCUACGGGAGGCAGCAGUGGGGAAUCUUAGACAAUGGGCGCAAGCCUGAUCUAGCCAUGCCGCGUGAGUGACGAAGGUCUUAGGAUCGUAAAGCUCUUUCGCCAGAGAUGAUAAUGACAGUAUCUGGUAAAGAAACCCCGGCUAACUCCGUGCCAGCAGCCGCGGUAAUACGGAGGGGGUUAGCGUUGUUCGGAAUUACUGGGCGUAAAGCGUACGUAGGCGGAUUGGAAAGUAGGGGGUGAAAUCCCAGGGCUCAACCCUGGAACUGCCUCCUAAACUAUCAGUCUAGAGUUCGAGAGAGGUGAGUGGAAUUCCAAGUGUAGAGGUGAAAUUCGUAGAUAUUUGGAGGAACACCAGUGGCGAAGGCGGCUCACUGGCUCGAUACUGACGCUGAGGUACGAAAGUGUGGGGAGCAAACAGGAUUAGAUACCCUGGUAGUCCACACCGUAAACGAUGAAUGCCAGUCGUCGGGGAGCUUGCUCUUCGGUGACACACCUAACGGAUUAAGCAUUUCCGCCUGGGGAGUACGGUCGCAAGAUUAAAACUCAAAGGAAUUGACGGGGGCCCGCACAAGCGGUGGAGCAUGUGGUUUAAUUUCGACGCAACGCGCAGAACCUUACCAACCCUUGACAUCCUUGGACCGCUAGAGAGAUCUAGUUUUCUCGUAAGAGACCAAGUGACAGGUGCUGCAUGGCUGUCGUCAGCUCGU
rnacentral:rRNA from 1 species